UACCAGCACCCCGAGUGGUCGGGACGAUUAUUGGGCCUAAAGCAUCCGUAGCCGGUUCUACAAGUCUUCCGUUAAAUCCACCUGCUUAACAGAUGGGCUGCAGAGGAUACUAUAGAGCUAGGAGGCGGGAGAGGCAAGCGGUACUCAGUGGGUAGGGGUAAAAUCCGUUGAUCCACUGAAGACCACCAGUGGCGAAGGCGGCUUGCCAGAAUGCGCUCGACGGUGAGGGAUGAAAGCUGGGGGAGCAAACCGG
rnacentral:rRNA from 1 species